rnacentral:tRNA from 1 species
GAAUCAGUAGCUCAGUUGGUAGAGCACAUCCCUUUUAAGGAUGGGGUCCUCGGUUCGAAACCGAGCUGAUUCA